CUUGAACGCUGGCGGCAGGCCUAACACAUGCAAGUCGAACGACUGGCGGAUGGGUGAGUAAUGUCUUGGAAACCUCCCGAUGGAGGGGGAUAACUACUGGUAACGGUAGCUAAUACCGCAUACCAUCAGCUCUGCUCAGAUGGGAUUAGCUUGUUGGUGGGGUAACGGCUCACCAAGGCGACGAUCCCUAGCUGAUCUGAGAGGAUGACCGGCCACACUGGAACUGAGACACGGGCCAGACUCCUACGGGAGGCAGCAGUGGGGAAUAUUGCGCAAUGGGCGCAAGCCUGAUGCAGCCAUGCCGCGUGUAUGAAGAAGGCCUUCGGGUUGUAAAGUACGUUCAGCGGGGAGGCGUUACCCGCAGAAGAAGCACCGGCUAACUCCGUGCCAGCAGCCGCGGUAAUUC
rnacentral:rRNA from 1 species